rnacentral:misc_RNA from 1 species
UCUCCGUAGGUGAACCUGCGGAGGGAUCAUUACUGAGUGAGGGCCUCUGGCCCGACCUCCAACCCUUUGAUGUCCGACUCUGUUGCCUCGGGGGCGACCCGGCCUUCGGGCCCGGGGCCCCCCGUGGUCCACUCAACUCUGCAUCUUUGCGUCUGAGUAAACAUUAAAUGAAAUAAAACUUUCAACAACGGAUCUCUUGGUUCUG